AGCGAACGCUGGCGGUAGGCUUAACACAUGCAAGUCGAACGGCAGCACAGUAAGAGCUUGCUCUUACGGGUGGCGAGUGGCGGACGGGUCAGGAAUACAUCGGAAUCUACUUUUUCGUAGGGGAUAACGUAGGGAAACUUACGCUAAUACCGCAUACGACCUACGGGUGAAAGCAUGGGAACUUCGGACCUUGCGCGAUUGAACUAGCCGAUGUCGGAUUAGCUAGUUGGCGGGGUAAAGACCCACGAAGGCGACGAUCCGUAGCUGGUCGCAGAGGAUGAUCGGCCACAGUGGAACUGAGACACGGACCAUACUCCUACGGGAGGGACCAGUGGCCAAUCUUGGACAAUGGUCGAAAACCUGAUCCAGCCAGACCGCGUGGGUGACGAAGGCCUUCGGUUUGUAAAGACGUCUUGUGGGGAAAAAAACGCAGCCGGUUAAGACCCUGCUGUUCUGACGGUACCCAACGAAUAAGCACCGGCUAACUUCGUG
rnacentral:rRNA from 1 species